GAUGAACGCUGGCGGCGUGCCUAAUACAUGCAAGUCGAGCGAACGGACGAGAAGCUUGCUUCUCUGAUGUUAGCGGCGGACGGGUGAGUAACACGUGGAUAACCUACCUAUAAGACUGGGAUAACUUCGGGAAACCGGAGCUAAUACCGGAUAAUAUUUUGAACCGCAUGGUUCAAAAGUGAAAGACGGUCUUGCUGUCACUUAUAGAUGGAUCCGCGCUGCAUUAGCUAGUUGGUAAGGUAACGGCUUACCAAGGCAACGAUGCAUAGCCGACCUGAGAGGGUGAUCGGCCACACUUGAACUGAAACGCGGUCCAGACUCCUACGGGAGGCAGCAGUAGGGAAUCUGCCGCAAUGGGCGGAAGCCUGACGGAGCAACGCCGCGUGAGUGAUGAAGGUCUUCGGAUCGUAAAACUCUGUUAUUAGGGAAGAACAUAUGUGUAAGUAACUGUGCACAUCUUGACGGUACCUAAUCAGAAAGCCACGGCUAGCUACGUG
rnacentral:rRNA from 1 species